AUUGAACGCUGGCGGCAUGCUUUACACAUGCAAGUCGAGCGGCAGCGCGGCCUUCGGGCUGGCGGCGAGCGGCGAACGGGUGAGUAAUGCAUCGGAAAAUGCUCAGUCGUGGGGGAUAUCACUUCGAAAGAAGUGCUAAUACCGCAUACGUCCUGAGGGGGAAAGCGGGGGAUCGCAAGACCUCGCGCGAUUGGAGUGGCCGAUGUCAGAUUAGCUAGUUGGUGGGGUAAAGGCCUACCAAGGCGACGAUCUGUAGCUGGUCUGAGAGGAUGAUCAGCCACACUGGGACUGAGACACGGCCCAGACUCCUACGGGAGGCAGCAGUGGGGAAUUUUGGACAAUGGGGGCAACCCUGAUCCAGCCAUGCCGCGUGGGGGAAGAAGGCCUUCGGGUUGUAAAGCACUUUCGGCAGGAACGAAACGGUGGGCUCUAACAUAGUCCGCUAAUGACGGUACCUGAAGAAGAAGCACCGGCUAACUACGUG
rnacentral:rRNA from 1 species